rnacentral:lncRNA from 1 species
GUGAAAUUGGAAGAUAAUUCUGAAGUGAUGGGAAAAAGAAAUGUGCGAAUGAUGGUGAAUGGUUUUUUACAGAUUGUUAAUGGUGUAUUUUAUGUUCCUGGAUUAAAAAAUAGCUUGCUAAGCAUUGGUCAACUAGUUGAGAAGGGACUCCAAAUCCUCAUACAACGAAGAGCAUGCAAAAUUUAUCAUCCUGAGAGAGGGCUAAUUAUGGAGAUUAUGAUGUCUUUGAAUCAAAUGUUUAAGCUGUUUGCUGUAACACAACUAGAGGAAGCUUGUUUCAACUCUUUCAUGGAAGAUCCAGCUCAACUUUGGCACUGCAGAUAUGGCCAUCUAAGCUUCAACAGUCUGAAGCCUCUUUAACAAAAGGGAAUGGUGAAAGGACUGCUAUUUCUCGAAAUUUCAUCGAAGAUAUGUGAAGACUGCUUGGUGGGAAAACAACAAAGAUAUCCACUUCCUCCAGAAAGCAAAUGGAGAGCUUCUCAAAUCCUUGAAUUGGUGCAUGUCGAUAUAUGUGGACCAAUCAGCCCUAUGUCCAACAGCCAAAAGGUACAUGAUUAGCUUUAUUGAUGACUAUAGUCGUAAAUUUUGGGUCUACUUCUUGGUUGUGAAAUUUGAAACGUUUAGUAUAUUCAAAAAAUAUAAGAAUCGAGUUGAAAAAGAGACUAGCUUGGCUAUAAAAGGUCUUCGUACUGAUUGUGGGUGGGGGUGAGUUCACAUCACUUGAAUUCACAAAUUUUUGUAGUGAGAAUGGUAUUCGAUGACAACUAGUGACCACAUACACUCCUCAACAAAACGAUGUUACGGAGCAGAAGAAUCGAACAAUCAUGAAUAUGGUUCAGAGCAUGCUUUUAAGAAAGAAGAUCCCCAAGACUUUCUGAUCUGAAGCUGUUAAUUGGAUAGUCCAUAUUCUCAAUAGGAGUCCAAGACUUGCAGUGAAGAAUAAAACUCCGCAAGAAGCUUGGAGUGGAUUCAAACCAUCAGUGGAAUACUUCAGAGUGUUUGGGUGUGUAUCUCAUGUUCAUGUUCCUGAUUGCAAAAGGGCAAAGCUCGAUGACAAGAGUGUAAGACGUGUUUUUCUUGGAGUUAGUGAGGAGUCAAAAGCAUAUCGGCAAUAUGAUCCUAUUUCUCAGAAGAUUAUAGUAAGAAGAGAUGUGGUGUUUGAAGAAGGCAACAACUGGGAUUGGGAUAAAAAUCAUAAGGAAGUUAUUUUGGCUGACUUGAAUUGGGACGACAAUUACAAAGAACCAAAUGCAGCUACUCGAAAUAGAGACGAAGCUGAGAGUGAUGAACAUAGAAAUACUGAGGAAAGAGAAACUAAUGGCUCAAAUGAAGAGAAUUCAUCUAGCUCAGGUGAAGAUUCCUCAUUUGAAUCUCUUGAACAAAGAUCAAGAAGACAACCAAUUUGGAUGAGGGAUUAUGAAAGUAGAGAAGGUUUAUAUCGAAGGAAGAAGACAUGGAAAAUUUAGUCAUGUUUGCAGCCAAUGAUCCGAUUUUAUUCAAAGAGGCACUAAAAGAUGCAAAGUGGAGAAUAGUAAUGGAUGCGGAGAUUGACGCUAUAGAGAAAAAUGAUACUUGGGAACUGACAAAUUUGCCUAUUGGAGUAAAGAAGGUUGGUGUGAAAUGGGUGUACAACACAAAACUCAUGAAAAUGGUGAGGUGGAGAAGUACAAAGUUCGUUUGGUUACAAAGGGUUACACACAACAACAUGGCGUGGACUACACUGAAGUUUUUGCACCUGUAGCAUGUUUGGAAACAAUUCAAUUAGUAAUUUCUCUUGCAGCUCAAAAAAGGUGGACAAUAUUUCAGCUAGAUGUAAAGUCAGCUUUCCUCGACAGAGAACUUAGUGAAGAGGUUUUCGUCGAACAACUUCCUGGCUAUGGAAAAAAGGUGCUGAAGGAAAAGUUUAGAGGUUAAAGAAGGUUUUAUACAGACUAAAACAAGCCCCACGAGCUUGGUAUAGUUGGAGAGAGUCAUAUUUUACUAAAGAAGAUUUCAAGCGGUGCCCUUAUGAGCAUACUCUAUUCAUCAAAGCGAGAGAAGGAGGUUAAAUUCUAUUAGUUUGUCUCUAUGUUGAUGACUUGAUUUUUACUAGCAAUAAUGAGCAUAUGUUUGUCAAAUUUAAAAAGUCGAUGAUGCAUGAGUUUGACAUGAAGACCUUGGAAAAAUGAGAAAUUUUCUCGGUAUAGAAGUAUUGCAAAGUUAAGAAGGUAUUUUUCUUUGUCAAAAAAGGUAUGCACAGGAGGUGUUAGAAAGGUUUGAUAUGGAUAAGUGCAAUUCAGUUCAUAAUCCAAUUGCUCUAGGUUACAAACUCAUGAGGGAUGAGAAUGGUAUAAGGGUGAAUAGUACUAGUUACAAGCAAGUAAUUGGCAGUCUAAUGUAUCUGACUGCUGCCCGACACGAUAUUAUGUUUGUGUUGAGUCUUUUGAGUAAGUAUAUGGAGCGACCCACAGAGCUUCAUCUCCAGGCUGCCAAGAGAGUGUUGAGAUAUUUGAAAGGGAUGAUGUUGAAAGUGCUAGCUGUUAGCGUUGAUCUAGUCUUUAGGUUUUUUGUUGAGUCUGUCACUUAGUUGUUUGAAUAAUCCCUAUUCUUUAGGAACAAGUUGUUUGUUUCCUAGUCAAUUACAACGUUACUAGGCAUGUAAAGCAUGGGCUGCUCUAUACUUCCUGUUAUUUCUGUAAGGUUAUAUAUAUAGCCAC